GUGAAAUUAAUCACAUACAAACAUACACCCCUUUGUUUGAGCGUGAACAUUUCUCCCAUCCCCUUUGUGUAAGAUAAGAAAGGCGCCUUCCGGACGUGGAAGGCGCCUUUC
rfam:Planococcus rifietoensis strain M8, complete genome.